rnacentral:rRNA from 1 species
AAAGUUUGACUCUGGCUAAUUGUUUUCUUUAUGAUGAAAGUGCAUGUAAAUAUAAGUGUGACAAUGUUCAGUCAUUCUAAAUGAGAAGAACAUAUAAAUAUCCAAUAAGCUCUAUUAAUGAUUGCUAAAAUCUCAGCAUAUAAUAUUAGGUUAUUAGCUAAUGCUAUAACUAGAAAAUCAUAUAAAAUCUGGCUAAAAUUGUGCCAGCCGCCGCGGUUAUACUGUGAGGUUAAGUAAACAAUUUUCGGUUAAAAUAAGUUAUUAUGUUAUUUAAAAAAUAAGAACAAGAUAUUAGAUGUAGGUGAAAUGAAUAAUUAAGAUAUUGUUCUUAUUGGACAAAUAGAUAAGAAACUUAAAAGUUUGGGGCAUAAACCAGGAUUAGAUACCCUGCUAUACUCAAAUUUAAGUGAAAUGACCUGGGUAGUAUACAGUUAUUUUCUUGAAACCCAAAGAGUUUGGCGGUAUCUCAGUCUAGUUAGAGGAGCUUGUUCAGUAAUCGAUAAUCCGCGAAAAAUCUCACACAUUCUUGUAAACAGUUUAUAUACCGUCGUUGUUAGAUAAUAUUAAAAGGUAAAUAAUUAUCCGAAUAUAGCAAGAUAUAAUAUAUCAGAUCAAGGUGUAACUUAUGGAUGUGGUUGGAAUGAGCUACAAUUUAAGAUAUAAAAUACGAAAGUUAGUUUUAAAGUUAAUUAACGGAAGGUGGAUUUAAUAGUAACCAUGGUUUUAGCAGGUUAUGGUGAUAAAAGCUCUGAGAUAUGUACACAUCGCCCGUCGCUCUCACUACAAAGUGAGAUAAGUCGUA